ACCCCGGCUCGCUGGUUUUGAGCCGGGCUUCUUACCCAUUUAAAGUUUGAGAAUAGGUUGAGAUCGUUUUGGCCCCAAGACCUCUAAUCAUUCGCUUUACCAGAUAAAACUGCUAGACUCUGAGCGCCAGCUAUCCUGAGGGAAACUUUGGAGG